rnacentral:misc_RNA from 1 species
GAUGAAGAACGCAGCGAAAUGCGAUAAGUAAUGUGAAUUGCAGAAUUCAGUGAAUCAUCGAAUCUUUGAACGCACCUUGCGCUCCUUGGUAUUCCGAGGAGCAUGCCUGUUUGAGUGUCAUUAAAUUCUCAACCUUAUUGGCUUUUGCUGAUAAUGGCUUGGACUUGGGGGUCUUUUUGCUGGCUUUCAUUAGUCUGCUCCCCUUAAAUGUAUUAGCCGGUGCCCCGCAGUGGAACCGUCUAUUGGUGUGAUAAUUAUCUACGCCGUGGACGUCUGCUAUCAUGGGUUUGCGCUGCUUCUAACCGUCUCUCGGGACAACACAAAUGACAAUUUGACCUCAAAUCAGGUAGGACUACCCGCUGAACUUAAGCAUAUCAAUAAGCGGAGGA